CGCGAAGGGUGCGAAACCACUCGUAUAAUACCGGGAAUAUGGCCCGGAAGUUUCUACCCGGGAACCGUUAAAUUUUCGGACUACGAGCCAUGAUAAAGAAACA
rnacentral:ncRNA from 1 species